CUGUUCUCAGGCAAAUGGGAGUUGGGGGCAGAGUAAAAGAGACCAGGGAUCAAGUGUAAGAAUUUCCUUGCUGGGACAUCAUGCAAGAAAUAUUUGGUUCACUUUUCUGGCUCUUGAAAUCCAUGGCCACCCCUCUUGACUCCCACCUGGUAGAUUUGGCUAAUUGGAGGUUAGCAUCUCUCUCAGCUGUAGCUGGUGAAACAGGGAUUUCUACGUCAAACCUCCUUCUUCAGUCUCUAUCCUGAGAAACUCCUCAGGAGGACUGCAGUUCACCUUCCCUGCCCCAAGAGGAGAGAUUUGGACAUCAUUUUUCAUCUGUCUGAGUGUGAAGGACUAGAAUAAGUUGUAUUUUCUCUGGGUCUCAGAUGCAGGGAUAGUUUGACAUAAUUUAAUCAUUUUAUUCUCUUCACCAAAUGUAAUGACAUUGUUAUCACUGCCAUUCUAAAGCUUGUCAAACUGUAGUAACCUCCACAAAAUUUGUUUCAAAUAAAGGGAUGUGAUACAACCACUAAGGCCAUGACAUCAGCUUUACUUUGGGAAUCUGGAGGCUAUUUCACAUUAAAUUAGCCAGUCACUGUAUGGAGAAAUUUUAUUUAACAAACACAUAUGGCACUUGAGCUUCUGGGGUGGCACUCACGGUAAAGAACCUGCCUGCCAAUGCAGGAGACGUAA